CUGGUGGACGAUACUGAGGAUGUGUCCCUGGACUUUGGUAAUGAAGAGGAGCUGGCCUUUCGGAAAGCCAAGAUCAGGUGGCCGAGUUUCGGAGGGGGCCCAUGAUAUUUGGAAUCAAAUGCGGGGAAAGUACUGGAUUCUUCGAGGGCAAAGAUGCUGGCACCCGCUGGCCACCUUUUUCCACCUGUUUUUCCGGGUGAGUGCCAUCGUCACCUAUGUGUGCUGCGAUUGGUUCAGCAGAAGCUUUGUGGGCUGCUUUGUCACCGUGCUCCUCCUCCUGUCCUUUGACUUCUGGUCUGUGAAGAAUGUAACCGGGAGACUCAUGGUGGGCCUCCGCUGGUGGAACCAGAUAGAUGAAGAUGGGAAAAGCCACUGGAUUUUUGAAGCCAGAAAGGCCUCUCCGAAUCAGAUCGCUGCCACAGAGGCUGAAGCUCGCAUCUUCUGGCUCGGCCUCAUCAUCUGCCCACUCAUUUGGAUCGUGUUCUUCUUUAGCACCUUAUUCUCCUUGAAGCUCAAGUGGCUGGUAAGGCGAUGCCCUGACUCGGAUGGUGCUUUGCCAUCUGCACAGACCAGGGUUGCAGGAGUGGGUUUUUUUUUAUCUGUCCGUUGAUUUGAGACCGCUUUGCUGAGGUCGUUGACAUACCAUAAGAGUCCACCCAUUUAGCACGUGCAAUGCAGGGGGCUUCUAGUAUGUUCAAUGUGUGGUCGUCACCACAGCCCAUUUUAGGAUAUUUUCAGCACCCCCAAAAUGAGCCCUGUACCCCCUAGCCAUCACCACCUCCAGCGUACUCCCUCCUUCUGUUCCAACACUCACCUAUUCUAGACGUUGCCUGUAACUGGAAUUCUUAAGUGAAAGAAGAUUACAAACGAUCACACUAAACACCGAAUUUCAAGGUUCAUCUGUGUUGUAGCAUUUAUCAGUUCUUUUUUUAAUGGCUGCGUAAUAUUCCAUCCUAUGGACAUGCUGUAUUGUUUCUCCAUUCAUCCGCUGAUGGACAUUUGGAUGUAUCUUUUAGACUCCUAUGAAGGAUGCUGAGAGGAGGUGUAAGCAAAAUCAUGUGAUAUCCUACCGUAGAAUGUUUCUAAAUAGGAAUAAGCAAGCCUGAGGUCUGAAGUUUUAUUUUACAGGUCUUAAGUACGCUCGAGACCCAGCAUGGAGCCUAACGCAGGGCUCAAACUCAUGACCCUGAGAUCAAAACCUGAACUGAGACCAAGAGUCGGAUGCUCAACUCACUUUGCCACCCAGGCGCCCCUAUUUAUUACUCUAAUUGCUGUGAUCUGGCUGCUUCAGUGAGAAAACAUCCACAGAUGGCCCUUGUGAUAGCUGGGAUUUCUCUCCAAGCCGCUAACCUGUAUGGCUACAUCCUUUGUAAAAUGGGAGGUGAGAGUG